GAUUAACGCUGGCGGCGUUCCUAAUACAUGCAAGUCGAGCGGACUUACGAGAAUCUUGCUUCUCUUAUGUUAGCGGCGGACGGGCGAGUAACACGUCGAUAACCUACCUAUAAUACUAGGAUAACUUCGGUAAACCUUAGCUAAUACCUGAUAAUAAUUUGACCCCCAUUCUUCAAAAAUGAAAUACGGUCUUGCUGUCACUUAUACAUGUAUCCGCGCUGCAUUAGCUAGUCGGUAAGGUAACGCCUUACCAAGGCAACUAUGCAUAGCCGACCUGAGAAGGUGACCGGCCACACUCGACCUGCGCCACGCUCCAGACUCCUACGGGAGGCCGCAGUAGGCAAUCUUCCGCAACGGGCGAAAGCAUGACGGAGCAACCCCGCGUAAGUCAUGAGGGUCUUCGGAUCGUAAAACUCUGUUACUACGGCAGAACAUAUGUGUAAGUAAAUGUGCCCAUCUCGACGGUACUUAAUCAGAAAGGCCCGGCUAACUACGUG
rnacentral:rRNA from 1 species